GGGGGUGUAGUUCAGUAGUAGAGCAUGUGCUUAGCAUGCACACAACACCCUGGGUUCAAUCUCCAGCACCAUCA
rfam:Ictidomys tridecemlineatus contig053866, whole genome shotgun sequence.